rnacentral:rRNA from 1 species
GACGAACGCUGGCGGCGUGCUUAACACAUGCAAGUCGAACGGAAAGGCCCUGCUUUUGUGGGGUGCUCGAGUGGCGAACGGGUGAGUAACACGUGAGUAACCUGCCCUUGACUUUGGGAUAACUUCAGGAAACUGGGGCUAAUACCGGAUAGGAGCUCCUGCUGCAUGGUGGGGGUUGGAAAGUUUCGGCGGUUGGGGAUGGACUCGCGGCUUAUCAGCUUGUUGGUGGGGUAGUGGCUUACCAAGGCUUUGACGGGUAGCCGGCCUGAGAGGGUGACCGGCCACAUUGGGACUGAGAUACGGCCCAGACUCCUACGGGAGGCAGCAGUGGGGAAUAUUGCACAAUGGGCGGAAGCCUGAUGCAGCAACGCCGCGUGCGGGAUGACGGCCUUCGGGUUGUAAACCGCUUUCGCCUGUGACGAAGCGUGAGUGACGGUAAUGGGUAAAGAAGCACCGGCUAACUACGUGCCAGCAGCCGCGGUGAUACGUAGGGUGCGAGCGUUGUCCGGAUUUAUUGGGCGUAAAGGGCUCGUAGGUGGUUGAUCGCGUCGGAAGUGUAAUCUUGGGGCUUAACCCUGAGCGUGCUUUCGAUACGGGUUGACUUGAGGAAGGUAGGGGAGAAUGGAAUUCCUGGUGGAGCGGUGGAAUGCGCAGAUAUCAGGAGGAACACCAGUGGCGAAGGCGGUUCUCUGGGCCUUUCCUGACGCUGAGGAGCGAAAGCGUGGGGAGCGAACAGGCUUAGAUACCCUGGUAGUCCACGCUGUAAACGGUGGGUACUAGGUGUGGGGUCCAUUCCACGGGUUCCGUGCCGUAGCUAACGCUUUAAGUACCCCGCCUGGGGAGUACGGCCGCAAGGUUAAAACUCAAAGGAAUUGACGGGGCCCCGCACAAGCGGCGGAGCAUGCGGAUUAAUUCGAUGCAACGCGUAGAACCUUACCUGGGUUUGACAUGGAUCGGGAGUGCUCAGAGAUGGGUGUGCCUCUUUUGGGGUCGGUUCACAGGUGGUGCAUGGCUGUCGUCAGCUCGUGUCGUGAGAUGUUGGGUUAAGUCCCGCAACGAGCGCAACCCUUGUUCACUGUUGCCAGCACGUUAUGGUGGGGACUCAGUGGAGACCGCCGGGGUCAACUCGGAGGAAGGUGGGGAUGACGUCAAGUCAUCAUGCCCCUUAUGUCCAGGGCUUCACGCAUGCUACAAUGGCUGGUACAGAGAGUGGCGAGCCUGUGAGGGUGAGCGAAUCUCGGAAAGCCGGUCUCAGUUCGGAUUGGGGUCUGCAACUCGACCUCAUGAAGUCGGAGUCGCUAGUAAUCGCAGAUCAGCAACGCUGCGGUGAAUACGUUCCCGGG